AGCCCCGUAGUGUAGUGGUCAAUCAUGUUGGCCUUUGGAGCCAGCGACGGCAGUUCGAAUCUGCCCGGGGCUACCA
rnacentral:tRNA from 2 species